rnacentral:rRNA from 1 species
GAUGAACGCUGGCGGUGUGCCUAAUACAUGCAAGUCGAGCGAACAGACGAGGAGCUUACUCCUCUGACGUUAGCGGCGGACGGGUGAGUAACACGUGGAUAACCUACCUAUAAGACUGGGAUAACUUCGGGAAACCGGAGCUAAUACCGGAUAACAUGUUGAACCGCAUGGUUCAACAGUGAAAGACGGUCUUGCUGUCACUUAUAGAUGGAUCCGCGUCGCAUUAGCUAGUUGGUAAGGUAACGGCUUACCAAGGCAACGAUGCGUAGCCGACCUGAGAGGGUGAUCGGCCACACUGGAACUGAGACACGGUCCAGACUCCUACGGGAGGCAGCAGUAGGGAAUCUUCCGCAAUGGGCGAAAGCCUGACGGAGCAACGCCGCGUGAGUGAAGAAGGUCUUCGGAUCGUAAAACUCUGUUAUUAGGGAAGAACAAAUGUGUAAGUAACUAUGCAUGUCUUGACGGUACCUAAUCAGAAAGCCACGGCUAACUACGUG